rnacentral:rRNA from 1 species
GAUGAACGCUGGCGGCGUGCUUAACACAUGCAAGUCGAACGAUGAAGCCCAGCUUGCUGGGUGGAUUAGUGGCGAACGGGUGAGUAACACGUGAGUAACCUGCCCUUGACUCUAGGAUAAGCCCGGGAAACUGGGUCUAAUACUGGAUAGGAACGUCUACCGCAUGGUGGGUGUUGGAAAGAAUUUCGGUCAUGGAUGGACUCGCGGCCUAUCAGCUUGUUGGCGAGGUAAUGGCUCACCAAGGCGACGACGGGUAGCCGGCCUGAGAGGGUGACCGGCCACCCUGGGACUGCGACACGGCCCAGACUCCUACGGGAGGCAGCAGUGGGGAAUAUUGCACAAUGGGCGCAAGCCUGAUGCAGCGACGCCGCGUGAGGGAUGACGGCCUUCGGGUUGUAAACCUCUUUCAGUAGGGAAGAAGCGAAAGUGACGGUACCUGCAGAAGAAGCACCGGCUAACUACGUG